ACGAUAUUUCCUCACCUCAAACCUACGUUUAACUUCAGGUAUCUGUCGACCGGCUCCACGCUUUUGGUUUCGUCGUGUGUUUAAAGGCACACGUCAACUGAAUGAUGCCUGAGCACAUGAUUGCGGAAAAUGUAGUGCAUGAACUACCCAUGUGAAAGAAGAGGGAGGGAAACGGAACAAAGGAGCAGCUUGGAUUCCCCUGAGUCUAAGCUUCCCUUUGACCUCCGCCUCCUGAACAUUACAUCAGCAGAAGUCAGAGACCGUCAGGAAGCGAAAACAAUGGCAGGGAAACUGGAAACACACUCCUCCACCUUCACUUUGCCUCCAAAACACUUUCUGGAUUACAAUGCUUUUGGGUGAUUGUAUGAAUUGAUGAAUUGGGGUGGAGGGAAUUCACCGGAACAACUAGGUUUGACCUUGAUAAAAGUUUACUACCUCGUUUGCACUGACUGUACUGACCGAAACACAUGUUACAAAACACCCAAUUUGUAAAGAAAUCAAUUAAAAUGUGGCUGAGAGUCACCAAAAUGAGCCUUGAAGCAUCAAAAUGCAUGCUCCGACAAUGUAAAUUGACUGGCACACACCCUUUUCACUACUUCUGUUUGCACCUAAAUCUAUUUCCAUUUUGUCUUUAUGUAUCAAUUUUCCUCAAGCACUUUGUUUUCUUUUAGUUACUCUGUCAGUUAUUUGCACUUUGUAUGAUCACAUUAAACCGCAGUAAACAGUAACAUAAACCAGCUGUGAAUUCAAAUA